AUUGGUAAUACUACUUACAUAAGAUCCGACCACGUUGAAAGAUUAUGUAUUGUUGAAUCCCAUGCUCCAUGAAGUUGUGCUAAAUUAGUAUGAUCCAAGUCGUGCAUCAAUCAUGACUAAAGCAUCGUCGAAGACCUCGUGUGCCUCCUUGAUGCGCUAGGGAUAGAUCAGGUGUUCCUUGUAGUGCAGGAUUGGGGAGCGAGUAUCGCUUGGAACAGGUGUUUGUUGCGGACUGAUCAGAUUAAGGCGUUGGUGAAUAUGAGUGUUGUGUUUACCCCUAUGAAUCCGGUUCGGAAGCCGAUUGAUUCGAUGCGAAAGAUGUUUUGGGAUGAUUAUUAUAUAUGCAGGUUUCAGGUUAUUUGCUCCUGUUCUAUACUUGAUUUGAUGUUCUGAAUCCACUUGUGAAAAUUGUUCAGAUUUGUUUAUGAUUUCGAUUCAUGAUUGUUUGAA